CCGAGUGUCAAAACUCCCAAACCCUUUGUGAACCUUACCCAUCGUUGCUUCGGCGGGACCGCCCCGGCGCCUCCGCGCGCCGGAACCAGGCGCCCGCCGGGGGCCCCAAACUCUUGCCUUGCCAGUGGUUUCUCUCUGAGUGAUACAAGCAAAAAUGAAUCA
rnacentral:misc_RNA from 1 species